rnacentral:lncRNA from 1 species
GUCCAAAUGAGUUCAUUAAAAUACUUUAAAAUCCCUAACCCUAAAGACUCAAGGGAGACUAAGAACAAACACCCCAAUUACCUAACCUAGCAGUUGUUUCCCCCAUCCGCAAAAGAGAACCCUUCCAUAUUUUUGAAAAUCAGUGACACUCCUUCUCUCACUCAGAUCAGAAGAAGAUCGGACCUUCCCUUACCAUGGCAGCUCUUGCUUCUUCGCUUCAUCACAUGAAAAACACUAAAAAUUCUUGAAUCAGAAAUUUGGAAAACUCAAAAAGCUCCAAAUUAGAAAGGAAAACUAGAAUUUGAACACGGAGCUUCCAUUUUCUUCUGGUUUUUGGUAUUAACUUUCUGGUUUGCUGAGGAACUCGCUGCUGUUUCUCUUUGCUUCUGGCUUGAGCAUCAUCCGCUAUUUUCAGCCUUCAUUUGGCUCACUUCAGCCUCAUUCUUUGUUCGAUUUAGAGGAGUUUGAGAUUCAUCUUCCAUUUCUAGAUUUUCAGCAAUUAGGUAUGUUAAUAUUCACCUAUUUUUCACUUCAAAUGUAUGAAUGAAGAUCUGAGUUACUCAAGCUGUAUUUCUGAUUGAUUUAGUGAAUGUGUCAUUAAAUCUUAUUAUGAUCCUUAUCGCUCACUUUGGCUUCGUUGUUGAACUGAAACUAUUCUCUGUUUAAGUGUAGUUUGACUCUAUGCGUUUCUAUGUUUGAUAUUGCUUUGGCUGAUUAUUCUAACUGAUUGUUCGAGAUGAAAUUAAUCAUUGAUCAUUAGAGUCUAAUUAUACGAUUUUGAAGCCAAACGAGUGUGUCUAUUUCUUAUGAGCUACGUAAAGAAUACGUAGUCUAUUUCUUACCUGCUUAACUCUAAUUGCUAAGGGAUAAAGGAUUCUGCUUUUCUGUUAGGCUUUGUAUUAUAUAUGUUAAAUUGAUACAUGAGCAUGUUAUUGUGUGGUCUUCAUCCUAAUCUGUUUGGGUAACUAUUUCCGUUGGACUCAGGCAGUGGAAUUGCACUUUGUUCGACCUCUGUGUUCACUGAUUUUUUAUAUCAGAAGAGUUGCUGUAUUUCUAGUUUCACAAUUUUUUCCUCUUUCUGAUACAUCACUAAAACAUGAACAAAGGAAUUGAUGCUUACUCACAAGUCGUUUUGUCCCUUUGGAUAGUUUGCUGCGAUUAUUGGUAUCCUAUUUUAACUUUUUUAUUUCAUUUACAACUAGCUUGAGUAAGAUUUAAUUGAAUAAGUGUGCAGAUAUUAGUGGCUAAUCCAUAACUCAUGGCCUCACACCAAUCUCAAGCCAGUUAGGAGAGAAUGAUAUUAUGAACAUUCAUAGUUUUGCCUAGGCACGAUUAAUAAAUUAUUGUGGUCAUGGGUACGAUUUCUGUAACAUGGCCACGAUAUGUAAAUCCCGAUUCGGGUGUGCAUUUCAUAUGAUCAAAAACUUCAAAUAAUAUUAAAACAAAUAUAGACCGCGGGUGCAUUUCAUGUGACAUAGUUCGCAAUGUGUUCAAAAUCAAUAAGUGCGCGACAUUGCGACUUAUUUAUAUAAAUUUCAUAAUUUCUAAAAAGUGAUUUUAAAAGGUUAAAAAUACACAAUAGGUUUUAAAUAUGUAAUAAGUCAGAUAAUUAGGCCAAUUAUUAAUAGUUGAGCGAUCGUACUAAAACCACGGAACUCGGGAGUGCCUCACUCCUUCUCCCGAGUGCCAAGUCUUCUAUAUUCGUAGACCAUAAAUAAGAGUCAAAACUUCCUUGAAUUGGGAUUUAAAAUAAACCGAUAACUUGGGACAUCCUAAAUAUUUUUUCAAGUGGCGACUCUGAAAUUAAAUAAAUAUCCCAUUUCGAUUAAUAUCACUUUAAUUGGAAAAACUCUAUGUCUAUUUGGGAAAAAGAAGGUGUGAUAGCUCUGACGACUCUGCUGGGGAUAAGAACCUAGAACUUAUGGUUCAGGGUUCAGAAUUCGAGCUUAGAAUAACUGUUAUACUUGGCUUUUAUCUAUUAUCUGAUUUUUGCAUGUUUGAGCCUAAUGUACUAAAUGCCGCUUUUUACCGCUUUGAUAUUGAUUAAAUUAUAUAUAUAAAAUAGUUACGAAACCCUCUUCUCUCUGAGUCUUCUAAAUCUUCUGGGAAGCGUGCGCUUCGCGUGGCUUCUUUUCUUUUAGAGUCAUAUCCUAAUUUUAGAACGAGGUACGGACAAGUUGCAAAGACGGCGAAGCUUCUGUAUUCCCGUUACGCUGCCCCCUCGGCUCGAGCUAUCUUCUCAGAUAAACCUGGUCUAGAUAUACAAUACACCUAGAUAUUUAAACCUAGAAUAACAUAGCCUCAUGCCAGAUCCCUAGUAGGAACACUUAUUUGCAUCACGUGCAUUGGACUUUGAAGAUUCAACACAGGGGUUGAGUCGGUCUAGGACAGGCGUACCCGACACUAAAAAGACCAUUCUGAUACACCUUACGUGCUACUUAUACAUUUGUUUGUUUCGUCUUGUGUUGACCGUCUUCUAUAAUAUGAAAAGAAAAUCACAAAAAAGACAGUGAGAGUUAGGUAUUUGAAAUUUGAAACUCUGUCGAAAUUUUGAAAACAAGAAAGAAAGAGAAAAAGUCAUUUCAAAAUAAGUUAUAUUUUCUUGUUGCAUCAAAACUAACCGAAAUACGUAUGUCUAAUUCUCAUCGGAUGUGAGAUACAUAGGCAAACCUCAUCGGUUCCGACCCUAAUUUCUAAAAAUCCAAAAAUAUUUUUCUUUAGUUUAUUCUUUAGAAGCAUUUCUGUCAUGACCCAAUUUCCAAACCCGGUCGUGAUGGCGCCUCUCAUGAAGACAAGCCAGCCAACUAAACCAAAUUGUCUCUUUAACAAUUAUUAAACAUAAAUGAAUAGAUGAAUACAGCUUAACGACAAUAAUAACCAGUAUUUGCAACUCAACACGACCCGACCGGGGUGUCACAAGUCACGAGCAUAUAAGAAACUUGAACACAACUACAGGGCCAAUAAUAUACCACAAAUAAAUUUUGGAAUUCUAAAGACAACGUCCGGGCACAACACUCCACUAAUAGUUAACACCAGGGAUUCUGGUAAGCAGUGAAAAAAGUCGCGUGGAUGCCAAUGAAAUGAGAGUGCUAAAUGUCAUGACGUGUAUUACAAACAGGAACCAAUACAUGAAUGUAAUACAAUGCAUAUGACCGUUGCGGCGUGCAACCUGAUCCAUUUGGAUACCCGCGCUCACUGUGAGGUUUCAGACUCCGGAGAGGCUCCUACAGCCCAAGCACAAUAUCAAUAUCUCACCGGUGCGGCAUGCAACCCGAUCCAUCCUCAAUCCAGAAUAUGCAUGUGAGCCACUAGGGCGAUGUUAAGUAAUAGUUCUCGUCUCCAAACGUCAAAAAACAAAUGUAGUUUAAGUUUUAAAACCUUAGAAGUAUGACUAGACAUUUCAAAGAACUGUUUAACUUUGGACUGAAAUCAUUUAACAAGCUAAGUAUCAUGGAAACAGUGAUAAUAAUCCCUAAAGGAUUCAAAUAAUCGGCACGAAGCCCAACAUAUGGCAAUCAGCCCAAAUCAUGAUGAUAACAAGUAGUUUCAGUCAAAUACGUAAUAAUUUCAUCAAUCGGGAUGGACCAAGUCACAAUCCCCAAUGGUUCUCUACCCCACGCUCGCUAUCCGGCGUAUAAGUCACCUCAAUACAAUACUAGGAUGUGCAAAUCCAGUGUUUCAAACCCUUAGGAUAUCAUUUAUAAGUAUUACUCACAUCGAACCGGUGAAAUCUCUAGCUCGCGACGCCUUUGCCUGUCAAAUCGGUCUCCACGCGCGUUGAAACUAACCAAAAUAAGUGCGAAUACAUUACAAUAUACCAAGGGAAUAAUACCCAAUCGAAAACAACUAAGAAAUAGCAAAAAUCUUGAAACUAACAAAACCUGAGCCCGCUUCUCGAAAAACUACAAAACUCACAUUACCAGAUUCCUCUUCUCGCCAUGAUUCCAUACAUACCAACAACUCCCACAUCCGAGCUCAAUUGACCUAUCAAAUUCCAAUUUGAAAUAUCAAAACCUAAGCCCUAGCUUCACCCCUUUUUAAUGAAUUUCAACCAAUUUCAUGUUAAAUAUAUCAUAAUCUCGUGAAUUUAAGCCAAGGAACUUACCUCUAAUCAUUCCUCCUUGAAUCCCUCUUCAAAAUCGCCUCAAAGUUCUCAAAGCUCGCUAAUAAAUGGAGGAAAAUACAUAACCCUCGCGGAUGAACUGUUUCAAUAAAACUCUUUAUGACCAGCCCAGAUUUCGCUUCUGCAGAUAAAAUGUAGCUUUUGCGACCUACGCAUCUGCAUUGUACGUCCGCUUCUGCGGAACGCUUCUGCGUUCCACAUUUCGCAUUAACGGGACCGCUUAUGCGGCCCGCCUUCCGCUUUUGCAGAAUAUCAAGAGAAAUCCAAAACCGCACCUGUGGUAUAACUUCCGCUUAUGCGGACCCGCUUAUGCGGGUAGCUUUCCACUUAUGCGGAAAGUGCUCAACCUCAACCUUUUCGCACCUGCGAUACCUGGCUCCGCUUCCACAUAACCGCAUCUAUGGUUUCCUUUCCGUAGAUGCAGAAAUACCUGCUGCAACUAAAAACCUGCAAUUCCAACUUUAAAUUUCCUUUCGAUAGCCACCCGAAAUCACCCCGAGGCCCCCGGCACCUCAACCAAAAGCACGAACACCUCCUAAAACAUUAAUGAAACUUUUUCCAAUCCUCAAAACACAUCAAAAAACACUAAAAUCAUCAAUUCAAAUCGGAUUCAAGCCUAAGUUCUUCAAAACUUUUGGAAUGCACUUUCGAUAAAAAACCCAAUGAAAAGACUUCCGAAUGAUCUGAAAUUUUGCACACAUAUAAAAAAUCACAUGACGAAGCUACAGCAACUGUCGGAAUUCCAUUCCGACCCUCGGAUAAAGAUCUCACCUAUCAACCAAAAAUCACCAAAUUACUAACUUCGCCAAUUCAAGCCUAAUUCUACACCAGACCUCCAAAAUCAAUUCCUACCGUACUCCUAAGUCAUAAUUCACCUCCCGAAGCUAACCGAAACACCGAAAAUCACAUCUGAGCCCUAUAACUCAUAAGUUAACGUCCGGUAGACUUUUCCAACAUAAGCCUUCCUUAAAGAGACUAAGUGUCUCAUUUCUUAUCAAAACUAAUAGAAAUCAACACUAACACACCACAUAUCGAUAAAGAAACAUGAAGAAGCAUAAAAUGGGAGAAACAGAGCAGCAACACAAGAGAUGACGGGUCGGGUCGUCACAGUUUCCUUAGAAAAUUCAAAAACAGAAAAACAAAAAAGAGUUUUUAAACUCAAAGAAAUAGUUUCCUUCUUUCCAAAGUCUUUCAUACAAAAAUAGGAAACAAAAAACCAAAAAAAUAAAUCAAUCAAAAAUAAAAAUCCAAAAAUACGGGUUUCCUUUAUUUUGAAAUAUUUUUCUAAUAAAUUUAAAAAUCAGGAAAAAAGUGUCCAAAAAAAAAUUCGUUUCCUUCUUUAAAAUUAUUUCUUUCGUAUAUGUCAUAAAAAUACAUCAAAAAAUUGAAGUCCAAAAAUAUUUUUGUUUUUCUUUAAAAGUAAUUUUGCAAAUUUGAAAAAUAAAAAAAAUUCAGAAAUCCAAAAUAUUUUCUUGUAAGGCCCUCUUUCGAAAAUUAAGCGGCAACAUCCAAAAAUAUUUUAUUUUUUUAGAAGUCUUCCAUCAAAAAAAGAAAACAAAUCAAAUUAAAAUCCAAAAAAUAUGUUUUCUCAUUCUUUUAGAUAAGGCUGUAUUGUGUGGCGGUUUUGGGUCUAUUUGUGCCUGGCGUUCCGGGUCUGACGGUUCCAGUUCUGGCAGUUUCAGGUCUGGCGGUUCUGGCGGUUCCGGGUCUGGCGGUUCUGGCGGUUCCGGGUCUGGCGGUUCUGGCGGUUCCGGGUCUGGCAGUUCUCAUGGUGGAACCGGCCCGUGACGGGUCUAAGUACCAUGCGGUUCCGUUUCUGGCGGUUCCGGGUCUGGCGGGUCUGACUUUUUUUUUUAAAUUCAAUAUCUUGUAUAGUAGUCAUUAGUAUAGUGU